UGUAAUUACAAAAAGAUGUAAUUUUAAACUUCUUUCGAUGUAAUAUUAGUCUAUUUUCCAAAAUUGAAUAGAAAUAAACUGUUUUGAUUUAAUUUUACACUGCAUCAUGCAAAAAUCAACCGGUCAACGAAAUUUAUAUCACAAACAGUGUAAAAUUAUAUCUGUUUGAUUUAAAAUUGAAUGCAAAUAUUUAAAUUGUGCCUUUUUAUAUUUCAAGUUAGUUUGCGCGUCGGGCACUAAGUAAACAAGUCGAAAAAUUAUUCGAGAACGAGUCAUUCAAAGGCGUAGCUACAGGAGCACUUUAAGAGUCUUUAAAGUACAAGGUCAGAUUUUUCGCAGCGGCUGAUAUCCGGCCAGUGAUUAUCCGGAGAAACUUUUGUCAGAACAAUUCGAGUGUGCAGGAUGCUGACCGAAAAAUUAUGAUUUCCGGAACCAUUCGAGGAUGCUGAUCAUGCUGAUUCGAAAAACAUCCCCGUGCUGGGAAUCAUCGGAUGCAACAACAAUAUCAGCCUGACGCUUUCCGAAUGGUUUUUAUGUUCAGUUUUGUAAAUAAAUGUGAAUUAAAAAUGA